rnacentral:rRNA from 1 species
GAUGAACGCUGGCGGCGUGCUUAAUACAUGCAAGUCGAACGAAGGUUGUAGCAAUACAUCCUUAGUGGCGAACGGGUGAGUAACGCGUUGGUGACCUGCCCCGAAGUGCGGGAUAACAGUCCGAAAGGAUUGCUAAUACCGCAUGGUUUCAUUUGGAUUAGAUGCCAGAUGAGCAAAGGCGAAAGUCGCUUCGGGAGGGGCUUGCGUCCCAUCAGCUAGUUGGUAGGGUAAUGGCCUACCAAGGCAAUGACGGGUAGGGGACCUGAGAGGGUGGCCCCCCACAAUGGAACUGAAACACGGUCCAUACACCUACGGGUGGCAGCAGUAGGGAAUAUUGGUUAAUGUGCGAAAGCGCGAACCAGCAACGCCGCGUGCACGAUGAAGGCCUUCGGGUUGUAAAGUGUCGUUUUUGGAGGGGAUGGAGGAAGGACAGUACCCUCAGAAUAAGUCUCGGCCAACUACGUGCCAGCAGCCGACGGUAAUAGUGUGUGUA